AGAUAAAACCCACAUUAACCCUUCAGUGUCCAGGUGAACGUAUUAAACACACUUCAACCCUCUGGUGUCCAGGUGAACGUAUUAAACACACUUCAAUCCUCUGGUGUCCAGGUGAGCGUAU